UACGCGCAGCAUUCGCCUCGCAAGUUCGCGUUCCGGAGGUUGUCCUGAAGUCUCGAACUUGUUGGUGUCGAGGAGAUGGGAAACCCUCGGGGGCCCUCGAAGAAGAACCAAGGAGGUGGCGAAUCCGAUCUCCACGCCGCCGCGAGGUCCGGCGACCUCCGCAAUGUCGAAUCCAUCUGCAACUCCAAUCCCCUUGCCAUCAAUUCCAGAGACCGCCAUUCCCGAACGCCACUGCAUCUAGCUGCAUGGUCUGGGCAGACAGAUGUGGUGAGGUUUCUCUGCAAGAACAAGGCUGAUGUUGGAGCUGCUGCGAUGGAUGACACAGCUGCGAUCCAUUUUGCUUCUCAGAAAGGUCAUCUAGAAAUAGUUCGUAUUCUUUUGGCUUCCGGAGUCUCCGUAAAAGCUGCUAACAGGAAAGGGCUGACUCCUCUGCACUAUGCUGCUCAGGGAUCCCAUCUAGAGCUCAUUAAGUAUCUAAUUAAGAAAGGUGCGAGCCUUACUGCCAAAACAAAAUCUGGGCAAACCCCUCUAGAUUCUGCACCUACUAAGGAGGUCCGCUCUUUUCUGCUGGAGUGUGAAAAGUCAUUAACCAAAGGGGACCAAUCGACCACAAGCAAGAUGGGUAAAGAAUCAGUGUUAGCUCAGUCUGUCAAUGAAACCAACACAGGUUCUGAUGCUAAUGAUACAGUUAAUGAAGUUGAUGAUGAAGACAGUGAUGCAAGAGAGAAGCGAAAAGCAGAAGAAGCCGAUGACGAAAGCUUGCCAAAGCCCAAGAAGGCUAAGGUUUCUCUGGAACACCUCCUAACGGAAGAUGAUGCACAAGAGGAGGUGGAAGAAUGAAACCUGUGAAGGUAGGAGGAACAUAACUGGUAUCUUCUAGUCUAAAGUGGAGUUAAGAAAUGCAUUUUUUUUUGGGUUAAUCUAGCACCAAAACAGUUGUGAGCAACAUUGAUGGAAAAUUUAUGGACAAGAUUCGCAACUUUGGAGAGUACUAAUCUCGAGAUUGAAUGCUUGCCACUGUAGAAGCUUCCCCAUGAUGAUUUCUGUGUUUCUAAUGGAAGAUCUUCACGGGGAUAGGAAUGAGGAUGUCAUACCAGGUGGUUGAUUGGCCCAGGUCAUAGGCAAGGGGUGAAGGCUUGGCAUGCGGCAUGAGAUCGGAUGGAGGAGGUAUCGGAGGUUAGCCAUCGGAAGUACUUGCAUUCAAGUCUGACACUGUUGGUAGGCUGAGGAUGAUUUCAGGUAUCAUGUUGUCUGAUGGAAGGCUACUGUUCUUCUUGUCUUUGGACCAAGAGCAUGUUUUCACCUCCUUCACUGCAGCAGCCAGACUAUGUUCAUAUUGGUUGUAGGGAAUUGAUGGCGGCUAUGAGGGGAGGAAUCUAAAUUGGUGACCGAUGUUUUCACCUCUGAAUAUGGAUUGGAAAUCCAAAUAAAUUCUGUGAUGAGUGGCUAGAACAGAGCAAGUAAAGCGUAUGUCACCAGUGCUUGAAACCUUUAUAUGGUUGAAUUAAUUAUAUUGGAGGAUCCUA